UACAGAGGGUGCAAGCGUUAAUCGGAAUUACUGGGCGUAAAGCGUGCGCAGACGGUUGCGUAAGUCAGAUGUGAAAGCCCCGGGCUCAACCUGGGAAUUGCAUUUGAGACUGCGUAGCUAGGGUGCGGAAGAGGGAAGCGGAAUUUCCGGUGUAGCGGUGAAAUGCGUAGAUAUCGGAGGGAACACCAGUGGUGAAAGCGGCUUCCUGGUCCAGCACCGACGUUCAGGCACGAAAGCGUGGGGAGCAAACAGG
rnacentral:rRNA from 1 species